UAAUACGAAGGGGGCUAGCGUUGUUCGGAAUUACUGGGCGUAAAGCGCGCGCAGGCGGCCUUUCAAGUCGGUGGUGAAAUCCCAGAGCUCAACUCUGGAAUUGCCAUCGAAACUGUAAGGCUUGGGUACGGGAGAGGUGAGUGGAAUUCCGAGUGUAGAGGUGAAAUUCGUAGAUAUUCGGAAGAACACCAGUGGCGAAGGCGGCUCACUGGCCCGUUACCGACGCUCAGGCGCGACAGCGUGGGGAGCAAACAGGAUUAGAUACCCUGGUAGUCCACGCCGUAAACGAUGAUUGCUAGCCGUUGGUAAGCAUGCUUAUCAGUGGCGCAGCUAACGCAUUAAGCAAUCCGCCUGGGGAGUACGGCCGCAAGGUUG
rnacentral:rRNA from 1 species